UACGUAGGAGACGAGCGUUGUCCGGAAUCACUGGGCGUAAAGCGCGUGUAGGCGGAUCGGCAAGUCUUCUGUGAAAGCUCCUGGCUUAACCGGGAGUGGUCGGUGGAAACUGCCAGUCUGGAGGACGGUAGAGGUAGGUAGAAUUCCCGGUGUAGUGGUGAAAUGCGUAGAGAUCGGGAGGAAUACCUGUGGCGAAGGCGGCCUACUGGGCCGGACCUGACGCUGAGACGCGAAGGCGUGGGGAGCGAACGGG
rnacentral:rRNA from 1 species